rnacentral:rRNA from 1 species
CCACGGGGCGCAGCAGUAGGGAAUUUUCGUCAAUGGGCGCAAGCCUGAACGAGCAAUGCCGCGUGAACGAGGAAGGUCUUCGGAUCGCAAAGUUCUGUUGACGGGGAAAAAGAGAGGAGAGAGGAAAUGGUCUCCGAUUGAUAUUACCCUUCGAGGAAGUCACGGCUAACUACGUGCCAGCAGCCGCGGUAAUACGGAGGUGGCGAGCGUUAUCCGGAAUGAUUGGGCGCAAAGGGUGCGUAGGCGGCCUGCGAAGGCUGGA